UAUAAAUCAUUUUUUAGUUAAAAUGUUUUUAUUUACAAGUUAGUUUUAAAGAAAAUAUGUUAAUUGAAAAUAAUUAUUUUAUAGGGGGUAAAAUUAGAAGAGAAUAUAAGAAACAACCAAAACCAGCCAAUUUGGCAGGUUGAGAGAACUGAUCAAAAUUAUACUACACCAAUUUUACGUGAUCUUUAAACCAUCUAAUACUGAUGUCAAAAAUACUAGCAAGCACAUGUUUUUCUAACCCUUCAUAAAUGGUGCCACCUAAAACCGGUGGAAAUAAAUAAAUAAAAUAAAAAUAUCUCCCAAGCAAGCCCUAAGAGGUACUAGCUUGGAGUGAAAAAUUAGAAAUUAGCAUAAAGCUCAAAUUAGUGCGACUCCUUCCCAAAAAUCAACUACCUUCCUAUCCCACUAUCUCACGAACUCAAAAAAAUUUCGAACUAUGAAAUCACUCCAUGGAUGAUCCAGAAACUAAAGGUGGGCAAAACCCAAACCAACUCGAGAAAAUCGCCCAACCCGACCCAACCCGACCGAUUUGGAUCGAUUUUUUUUUUUUUUUUUUUUUUUAGGUGGGUUUUGGGUAUUGGUCAGGUAGCCGGGUUGGGUUAUGGGUUAACCAGGGAAACCCGAUGUAACCUGACCCAACACGACCCGACUGCAUUAAAGGUUGAAGGCAAAAAAGGAAAAAAGAAAAAAAAAAAAGAGAUAAAUGAAAAGAAGCCCUGAACUAUUCCGGUCUUCUUCACUCUCGCCUCAAAUAGAGACUACUACGAGGGGUGUCCAUUUUUCAAUAUUAUGGAACCAUAGAAUAAUUCAAUAGCAAAUUCAUGGUAAUGGGAAAAAGGGAAAGCCAGUGCUUCUUUUCCCAAUCCCCAGGAUGUCCCAGCAAAGAGUAUGAUCCAUCUCUUCCCCAACUUUUUAGUGUAUUAAACUUCUCCAUAGAUGAAAAUCCCAACAGCCAUUUUCCUCUCCUUCACAGAAACAAAUGCUUCGAUCACCAUAAUAAAAGUUUCCAUUGUGAGCAGAUCCUUCUCUUCAUUUCUUCAAGGAUAGACACCAUGUUCUCAAACUAUCCUCUUCUCAAGAACAAUAAUCAUCGCAUUUUAAUUGCCAGAUCUUGACUUAAAUUCAACUUGCAAUCAUCUAAAAUCAUUCAAUAUUCACCUCCAAACUUAUAUCUUUGAUCUGAAUCAAUUCACUCGUCAUGUCCACCUCCUCCUGAUCAGUCCUCCAUUUCACAUUUUUAACGACAAUUGAUUCGUUUCCGCAACCACGCAACUCUCAUUCUCAGAAUCCGACACAUCAAAAUCACUAGGAAUUAAAGACCCUAAAAUUAUUCAAGCAAUAAAAGGAAAUACUGUGAUUGUAGGGAAAUCUCAGCUUUGGGAGUGGGUUUAAUGGCAAUAUUUUUUGAAAAGGAGAGAAUGAAGUGGGGUGUGACAAAAUAAAUGGAAUUUCACAAAAAGCACAAUAGAGACUACUACGAGUAAAAGAAUGAAGCAAAAAAUACACGGACAGAGAGCUACCGUUAAUUUGCUUUCCUUGAAAUCAUCAACUCCGUACCGUUCAGAUUUGUAAUUCGGUGGUGCUAAGGAAGAGUUUGCCAUUUACAGUGGUAUUUCUUGUGGAAUUUGAAUGAAAAUAGAUUUGAAGAGUGGGGGUUUCUUCAAAAUGCCCAAAUAUGCAGCCCUUUUGUGUAAAUUGAAGAAAAAGAGAACGCUUAAAUUAAGUGGGCCGUGGAUUCGAAGAUCUAUGAUUUCUUCAAAAUGCUCAAAUACAUAGCCUUUUUUUUUUUUUUGGAUAAGGUGCUCAAAUACAUAGCCGUUUAGUGUAAAUUCAACGAAGGAAAAAAAAUGCUUAAAUUGAGUGGGAUUUGGAUUUGGAUUUGAGGAGUAGAAAUUUCUUCCACGGUCUCAAGUAAAUUUCUUCCACAGUCUCAAGUAAAUGGCAAAUUCAUAGUACUGGGAAAUUCAAAGGGGAAAAAGAAGUAAUGGUUGCAGUUGGAAGUUUCAGAUCGAGGGUUCACGCCAGAAGUGCAGGUUCGGUGGCUAGACAGUGAUGCUGUAGGUUGGUGAAGGAGACAGACAAUGGGAGCGUGUUGAGUGAGCUGCAAAGUUAACUUCUUUAUUACAACUUUACAAGAAUGUUUCGUAAAUUAUGGAACCCAAUUUAGAGCAUCUCCAAAUAUUCUUUAAACAUAAAAAUAUCUACGUCGGAGUCCACUCUUAAAACUAUAUUUCAAAAAACUCAUUAAAUCAAUAUUUUAAAAUAAAGAAUAAUUUGAAAAGUCAAAC
rnacentral:lncRNA from 1 species